AUAAUUUCUUACAACCUACCGUUUCGUCCGCGAUUCUCAAUCCUCUUCUGUGCAUAGGGGUAUGCCCGUAAUUAUAUCCCAAAACCAAUGGCCAUUUCAUAUCGUACACCGACCGCCAAAAAAACCCUAGAUACUCACAAUUUUGAGACUCGCAGAGAGACUUUUUCCUCUCUCUCUUUUGUCAGAGACUCGGAAUGAAUAAUUAAGACUUGUUGAUUCAUUGCUCCCUCUGUUUCUUUAUCAUUCUCAAGCUUUUCAGGGUUUCCAAUUUUUGUUCCUGUGGAAAGGCUCUGGCUUAUCCCUCGGUUUCUUGAUCGCCAUGUCCAAAAGGGUUCUCUGCAAAUUUUUUGCCCAUGGAGCCUGUUUGAAAGGGGAGCAUUGUGAGUUUUCACAUGAUUGGAAGGCAACACCAAAUAAUAUAUGUACCUUUUAUCAGAAAGGCGCUUGUGCAUUUGGUAGUCGAUGCAGAUAUGAACAUGUUAAAGCUUCUCGGGCUCAGUCUUCUGGUUCGUCUUCAUCAACAAUUUCUCAGCAAUCUCUGGCUGUUGAUUCUUUAUCUCUGGCUCAUCCUUCAAGAACCUCAUCAAGUGGAGUUGCUCUUGCCCCGGGAAUUCUUUCGGAACUCUCUGCUUCAAGUAGUCCUUUCUUACCUCCCUCUAAGCCUGCCUGGAAUGGUUCCCUGGAUGAUGAUGAUUAUGAUGAUAAUGGUGACAAUGAUGAUGAUGGUGCUGGGGCGACUAGGAGUACUAGGCCAGAAGAUCAUGCUAUUUGUUCAUUUGCUGCAGCGGGUAAUUGUCCUCGUGGAGAAAAAUGUCCUCAUAUUCAUGGAGAUAUAUGCCCCAGCUGUGGAAAACAUUGCUUGCAUCCUUACAGACCUAUGGAAAGGGAGGAGCAUAUGAAGACAUGUGAGGAAAAGCAGAAGCAACUUGAGGCUUUGAAACGCAGUCAAGAAAUAGAAUGCAGUGUUUGCCUGGAACGUGUUUUGUCAAAGCCCACAGUUGCUGAGCGGAAGUUUGGGAUACUCUCAGAAUGUGAUCAUCCUUUUUGCGUAUCUUGUAUUCGAAAUUGGCGUAGUAGUUCCCCAACUUCUGGUAUGGAUGUCAAUAGUGCAUUGAGAGCGUGCCCAAUAUGUCGGAAGCUGUCAUACUUUGUCAUUCCAAGUGUCAUUUGGUAUAACACAAAAGAAGAGAAACAGGAAAUUAUUGACAGCUACAAGUCAAGGCUCAGGUCAAUUGAUUGCAAGCACUUCGAUUUUGGAAAUGGGAACUGCCCAUUUGGAACUAGUUGCUUUUAUAAGCAUGCAUACAGGGAUGGCCGUCUGGAGGAAGUAGCACUGCGCCAUCUUGGAAAUGAAGAUGGUCAGACGGUGAUAGCUACAAAUAUUAGGCUGUCAGACUUUCUUGCUGAUCUACACAUAAGGUGAAUAACGCCGUUUCAACAUUCCAAUGAUUUUUUUACAUCAAGAACAUAUGCGCAGCUCUCAUGCUGGUGUUUCAAUUGCAAGUGGAAUACUCCAGUGGUUUGAAAGAAUUGCUUGCUUGAUGGUGAUCCAGUUUUUGGAGAAAGCAUACAUGUAACAGAAUUCAAAAUAAAAGUAAUUAUGGAGUGGAUGAGCAUAUGUUGAGGAUUUUGACAAUUAUAUUUGUGCCUGCCUGUGGCUUCAAUAAGUGUCUACAGAUUGGGUCAAAAUGAAAUUGAAUAAAGGAUAGGAUGUAUGGACAGCAUGCCAAUAUCAAACUGGUUGGUUGGGGACUGUAUAUAAAUUAUAAAAAUGGAUAGUGGGAUUCAAAUGGGUUUUUUUCAUCAUCAAUGGUGGAGGUGAUAGAUGCUUUGAAUAAAAUAAGACGUGUUUUUGUUUAGAGGGUGUUGCCUGGGUUAUUGUCAUAUUUAGAUAUUCAUUGGUUUUUCGACCACAUU